GAUGAACGCUGGCGGCGUGCCUAACACAUGCAAGUCGAACGGAGAUUAUUGACGGAAGUUUUCGGAUGGAAGACGGUAAUCUUAGUGGCGGACGGGUGAGUAACGCGUGGGUAACCUGCCUCGUACAGGGGGAUAGCGUCGGGAAACUGACGGUAAGACCGCAUAGGACCACAUAUUCGCAUGGAUAAGUGGUGAAAAGGGAAACCUGGUAUGGGAUGGAUCCGCGUCCGAUUAGCCAGUUGGCAGGGUAAAGGCCUACCAAAGCUUCGAUCGGUAGCCGGACUGAGAGGUCGGACGGCCACAUUGGGACUGAGACACGGCCCAGACUCCUACGGGAGGCAGCAGUGGGGGAUAUUGCACAAUGGAGGAAACUCUGAUGCAGCGACGCCGCGUGAGUGAAGAAGUGCUCCGGCAUGUAAAGCUCUUUCAGCAGGGAAGAUGAUGACGGUACCUGAAUAAGAAGCCCCGGCUAACUACGUGCCAGCAGCCGCGGUAAUACGUAGGGGGCAAGCGUUAUCCGGAUUUACUGGGUGUAAAGGGAGCGCAGGCGGUCUGGCAAGUUGAGAGUGGAAGCAGGGGGCUCAACCCCCUGACUGCUCCCAAAACUGUUGGACUGGAGUAUGGGAGAGGCAGGCGGAAUUCCUAGUGUAGCGGUGAAAUGCUCAGAUAUUAGGAAGAACACCGGUGGCGAAGGCGGCCUGCUGGACCAAAACUGACGCUGAGGCUCGAGAGCGUGGGGGAGCGAACAGG
rnacentral:rRNA from 1 species